rnacentral:rRNA from 1 species
UGGGGAAUAUUGGGGCAAUGGGGCGAAAGCCUGACCCAGCAACGCCGCGUGAGGGAAGAAGGUUUUCGGAUUGUAAACCUCUGUUCUUAGUGACGAAGGAAGUGACGGUAGCUAAGAAGGAAGCCCCGGCUAACUACGUGCCAGCAGCCGCGGUAAUACGUAGGGGGCGAGCGUUGUCCGGAAUUACUGGGCGUAAAGGGUGAGUAGGCGGUUUAUUAAGUUGGAUGUGAAAUACCCGGGCUUAACUUGGGGGGUGCAUUCAAAACUGGUAGACUAGAGUAUCGGAGAGGGAAGUGGAAUUCCUGGUGUAGCGGUGAAAUGCGUAGAUAUCAGGAGGAACACCGGUGGCGAAGGCGGCUUUCUGGACGACAACUGACGCUGAGGCGCGAAAGCGU